CUCAGACAUCUGUGUCAAGGUCAUAUUACUUUACUCAGACAUCUGUGUCAAGGUCAUAUUACUUUACUCACAUAUCUGUGUCAAGGUCAUGUUACUUUACUGACCUAUCUAUGUCAAGGUUAUAUAUACUGAUGCAACCGUAAUAUAUAUCACAUGACAUAUGAUUGGUAAAUUGUUCAUACCUUACAGCCAAUGAAUUUCUAGGGUUAACUCAAAGGAGAUAAACAUAAGUUGCAAGAACUUGUUUCAUAAUACAGUUUAAAUAAGUUGAAUUGCUAAAUUUAACCAAACAUAUGAAAUUAGUACAACGUAACAAGAUAUGUACAAAGAAUAAUGAUUGGUCAGUAGUUCACACAGUGAAACUGUUUUGCCUAUCAAUUUUAACAACAUUGAUUUACCAAAUUUGUACCAAGAAAUAUGAUUAGACAGUUAUUCAAACCUGGCCAAUCAGUAUCAAGGACAUACAGAGUACAAAAAAUGCAUUGUAUUUGAGUAAAGAUGAUAACUUUGAUACCAAGAUGUUAUACUUGCUGAUUUUCAUGUAUAUGUUACAUUGCUGUUUUUGUGACCAUUAUCUUACCACAUCAUUGUUUUAUUAUGUUUUAUUGUCAUUGUUUUGUUUAUUCUUUUUAUUUUACUAGGAGGGAGCACAACUUUUAGGAAUAAU